UCUACGGGUGGCAGCAGUGGGGAAUAUUGGACAAUGGGGGAAACCCUGAUCCAGCGACGCCGCGUGAGUGAAGAAGUCUUUCGGUACGUAAAGCUCUAUCAGCAGGAGAGAAAAUGACGGUACCUGACUAAGAAGCCCCGGCUAACUACGGGCCAGCAGCCGCGGUACUACGUAGGCGGCAAGCGUUAUCCGGAUUUACUGGGUGUAAAGGGAGCGUAGACGGCAGAGCAAGUCUGGAGUGAAAUGCCGAGGCCCAACCCCGGAACUGCGCUGGAAACUGUGAAGCUGGAGUGCAGUCGAGGUAAGCGGAAUUCCUGGUGUAGCGGUGAAAUGAGUAGAUAUCAGGAGGAACACCGGCGGCGAAGGCGGCUUACUGGACUGUAACUGACGUUGAGGCUCGAAGGCGUGGGGAGCAAACAGGAUUAGAUACCCUAGUAGUC
rnacentral:rRNA from 1 species